AGAGUUUGAUCGUGGCUCAGGAUGAACGCUAGCGGCGCGCUUAAUCAUGCAAGUCGAGCGAUGAGGCUUCUUCGGAAGCACAUCAGCGGCAGACGGGUGAGUAACACGUAGGUGACCUGCCCUCCAGCCGGGGACAACGGGUGGAAACACGCGCUAAUACCGGAUAGACUCCUGGGGGUCACAGCCGGGAGGGAAGCUACCGCAAGGUGGCGCUGGGGGAGGGGCUUGCGGCCCAUCAGCUAGUUGGUGCGGUAAUGGCGCACCAAGGCGAAGACGGGUAGGGGGUGUGAGAGCACGGCCCCCCACAAUGGGACUGAGACACGGCCCAUACUCCUACGGGAGGCAGCAGCAGGGAAUAUUGCACAAUGGGCGCAAGCCUGAUGCAGCGACGCCGCGUGGAUGAUGACGGCCUUCGGGUUAUAAAGUUCUUUUCGAGGGGAAGAGAAUGGACGGUACCCUCGGAAUAAGCGUCGGCUAACUACGUGCCAGCAGCCGCGGUAAGACGUGGGACGCGAGCGUUAUCCGGAUUUACUGGGCGUAAAGCGUCUGUAGGCGGGUUCGUAAGUUGGGCGUGAAAGCUCCGGGCUCAACCCGGAGAGGUCGUUCAAUACUGCGAGUCUAGAGGGUGUCAGAGGGGGGUGGAAUUCCCUGAGUAGCGGUAAAAUGCGCAGAUAUGGGGAGGAACACCAGUGCGGAGGCGACUCCCUGGGACACACCUGACGCUGAGAGACGAAAGCUAGGGGAGCGAACAGGAUUAGAGACCCUGGUAGUCCUAGCCCUAAACGCUGGAUGCUAGGUGUGGGACAUACCGUUCCGUGCCGUAGCUAACGCGCUAAGCAUCCCGCCUGAGGAGUACGAUUGCAAGAUUAAAACUCAAACGAAUUGACGGGGCCCCGCACAAGCAGCGGAGCGUGUGGUUUAAUUCGAUGUUACACGAAGAACCUUACCUGGGUUUGACAUGGGGAUGGUAGCGGUGCGAAAGCGGCGUGACCCUUCGGGGAGUCCUCACAGGUGCUGCAUGGCUGUCGUCAGCUCGUGCCGUGAGGUGUCGGGUUAAGUCCCGUAACGAGCGCAACCCCUGCCCCUAGUUACAAGUGUCUAGGGGGACUGCUGGCGGAAAGCCGGAGGAAGGUGGGGAUGACGUCAAGUCAGCAUGGCCUUUAUGUCCAGGGCUACACACACGCUACAAUGGUCGGUACAACGGGUUGCGAAGUCGCGAGGCGGAGCGAAUCUCGACAAAGCCGGUCGCAGUUCGGAUAGCAGGCUGCAACUCGCCUGCUUGAAGCUGGAGUUGCUAGUAACCGCGCGUCAGCUAUAGUGCGGUGAAUACGUUCCCGGGGCUUGUACACACCGCCCGUCACGUCAUGGGAGUCGGUAACGCCUGAAGCCGGUAGCCUAGCCCGCAAGGGGGGGCGCUGUCGAAGGCGGGGCUGGCGACUGGGACGAAGUCGUAACAAGGUA
rnacentral:rRNA from 1 species